UACGAAGGGGACUAGCGUUGUUCGGAAUCACUGGGCGUAAAGCGCACGUAGGCGGAUGUGUCAGUCAGGGGUGAAAUCCCGGGGCUCAACCUCGGAACUGCCUUUGAUACAGCACGUCUCGAGUCCGGAAGAGGUGGGUGGAAUUCCGAGUGUAGAGGUGAAAUUCGUAGAUAUUCGGAGGAACACCAGUGGCGAAGGCGGCUCACUGGUCCAUUACUGACGCUGAGGUGCGAAAGCGUGGGGAGCAAACAGG
rnacentral:rRNA from 1 species